CUGGCUUUAUUAGAAUCGUUCACAUAAAUGUAAAAUCACAGGUAUUUCAUUGCUGUGGAAUAGGAUGUUGUCUUGAAGCAUCGGCAAAAUAAAUCUUGCUAUCCAAACAUAAAAUCCCACCAAAUUCCUAGGACCUUAAAAAUGUUGGCUUUUUGUUUUUGUUUUUUCAAUUUCAAUUGUCCAGGAAACUUACCGAGUACUGGGAAGGAUUAAUCCAAACUGCUUCUGUUCCCAGGGCCUUCUGUUCUGUCGGAGGUUGUCUUCUUCCCAGUUGUAGAAGCCCAUGAAGUGGGCACAGAAUCCAAUGUCCUGACGGGCUUUCCUCAACCUGUGAUCACCAUCGCUGCCUGCCCAAGGAGAAAGAGUCCUCUUAGACUUACUCUGCUGGAAAAACCAACUGGACACUUUGCCCUGUCUCAUUCUGAUGCUUCCUCUUUCCUCACACUUCUCCAGCCACCAGCGACGGUGGCUGAGAAGUCCCUCCUCCCCGGACAAGAAGGUCAUUCAACAAACUUCCUCUGAGAUUCCAUCAUCGAUAAGCCAUCAGUCGCCCAGGGUUGGUUUGUUUUGUUAAUUUGCAGUUCUAUUUUUGCUGAACAGAAAAGGAAGAUCAAUAGCAACCAUGGGGAUUUCUGGGCUGCUCCAAUGUGAACUCCUACUUCUAUUUGAAAGCACAACAAUGUCAGCAGAAUUAAUUAAAUUGCCGUCG
rnacentral:lncRNA from 1 species